rnacentral:ncRNA from 1 species
AUAUGUAGAUACUGAAAAGAGUUUGAUCCUGGCUCAGAAUGAACGCUUAUAGUUAGCUUUACACAUGCAAGUUAGUUUUUUAAACUAAGCGAACGGGUGAGUAAUACAUAGAAAUUUACCUUAAUUUAGAUAAAUCUAUGUAAGAUUAAGUAGUUGGUAGGUAAUGUUUACCAAGCUUACAAUCUUUAGUUGGUCUUUGAGGAUGAACAACCACACUGGAAUUGAGAUAUGGUCCAGACUUUUAAUAGAGGCAGCAGUGAGGAAUAUUGAGCAAUAAGCGAAAGCUUGACUCAGCUAAACUAUGUGUGUGAUGAAAGUAAAUAACUGUAAAACACUUUAUAUGAAAAUAAAUUAUGAUUUAAAUUCAUAAAAAAGCCCUGGCUAAUUUCGUGCCAGCAGCCGCGGUAAAACGAGAAGGGCAAGCGUUAUUCAAAUUAACUGGGCGUAAAGUAUUCGUAGAUUGAAAAUUAAUUAAUAAGUAAAAUUUUAAAUAAAUUUAUUAAAUAAAUUUAUUAAAUAAAUUUUCUAGAGUUUAGUAGAAGAUUGUAGAACUUUAAAUGUAACGGUAAAAUGUAUUAAUAUUCAAAAGAAUUUCUAAAGCGUAGGCAGCAAUCUAAACUAAAACUGACAUUGAGGUAUAAAAGCAUAGGUAGCAAAGGGGAUUAGAUACCCCCGUAGUCUAUGCCUUCAACGAUGAGUGUUUAUUUUUGGAUAUAGAUUCAGAAGUAAAGUUAACGUAUUAAACACUCCGCCAGGGAAGUACGAUCGCAAGAUUAAAACUCAAAGGAAUUGACGGGGACCUACACAAGCAGUGGAGCAUGUGGUUUAAAUCGACAAUACGCGCGAAACCUUACCAAUUUUUGUAUACUUUAUAGUACAGGUGUUGCAUGGCUGUCGUCAGUCCGUGCUGUGAAGCGUUUGAUUAAUUUCAACAAACGGACGAAACUCUUAUGUAUUGUAAUCACAAACUGCUAAAGAUAUUUGGAGGAAGGAAAGAAUGAUGUCAAGUCCUUAUGACCUUAAUAAAUUGGGCUACUUUCAUGUGCUACAAUGUGUAUUUCAAAAAGGAACUAAAAUGUAAAUUUAAGUAAUACUUUAAAAAAUAAACCUGUUCUUAUUAUUUUCUGCAACUCGAAUAUAUAAGGUAGGAAUUGCUAGUAAUCGUGAAUAAGAAUGUUACGGUGAAUCCGUUCUUAGGUCUUGUACACACCGCCCGUCACGCUAUGGAAACUCUAACUAUUUGAAAGUUGUUUAUUAAUUAACUUACAAUAUAGGAGCAACUAAAGUGAAGUCGUAACAAGGUAGCCGUAGGGGAACCUGUGGCUGGAAGAUAAAAUA